ACACCUCGCGCCCUGGGUUUUAGUGGAAGGCGCCCCAGGCUACCAGGGAUCGCGACACUGCUCUCCCGGUGACUUUCUUCGGGCCUGAGCUUCCCCCGGCUGGACGCAGUUUCUGAGGGUCCUUCCGGUUCACACUCUGCCACUCCGUGAUCCUCUUGGCUCCGGAGUGAAGAACCCUGCGUCUUUGUGCACGUGUCUGUGCGCCUGCCUGUGAGGGGGGUGGGGGUGCAGAGCGGGUAUCGCUUUUGGAUUUCCAUAGCAACUGCUCCUGUGUCACCCCAUUGCUCCCAAAGGUUUGAGCGGUUGCUUGUACAAAUUUACAUAUAUCUGCAUGUCAUUAACAUAGAGGCGGGGCCGGAACUUGUUUGGGCAACUAUCCCUGGACGGUUCUCUUUGCUUCUUCCUCAUCCCGUCUGAUAGGCAUGUGGGCUGCGCAUGCGUGAGUGUUUAGCCUGUCCAUGUUCUCAGAUGUGGGGUGGAUGAGUGAGCUGUGACAGUGACCAUCAGUUCCCUUUCCCCACGUCCCCUUAUUGAACCCUUAGCAUGAAUCCAUCCAGAUAUCCCUGACUGAAGACACCCAGCUUCCCAAGCAAUGCCAGGCCUUGUUGGCACUCCAAUUCCUUUUCUGGCUGUGUGGCCUUGACAAGUUUAGUUACCCUCUCUGUGGCUCAGUUUUCUUCUCUGUAAACAGGGAUACUAAUCUCUAACUUACCAGGUGAUGGGAGGGUUUAACUGGUUGCCACUUUUACACACACUAAUUGCUGCUUUCUGGCCUACAGUAGGCACUCAGUGGUGCUCCCUUCCUCCCUCCCUGGAGCCCAACUCUUCUCAGAACCCAACCAAAGCAAAUCAACUUCAGUUGCCGCUUAAGACAUGACAACUAGACACCAGAAGAACUUCCAGAUGUCAGGGCAGACUGGAUUUGAUGCACAGGAUGAGGACUAUUGUUUUCUCUAUUUGUCCUUCUUGGAAGCUGGAGGUCAGGUUGGUGAGUGUGGACCCUCCUACCGCCUCCCCCUUAUACCCUUGUCUCUCUCAGGGAGCCCACUGGUUUCCAGAAAACUUGCUUUCUUGUCCCAAAGGCCUGGAGCCUGAGACGGCUGUAGCAGUGACAGCUGAGCUUGGGAGGCCCGAAGACCAGGGCAGAGCAGGUGGUGGCUAAGGAAGUACCUUCCAGGACUGAGGUGUUUGGGAUGGAGCAGGACUGGGAUGGAAGGGAGACUGAGAGCAGAAACUGCUUGGAGAGCCACAUGUCUGUUCCUUUACCAGAGAGGACUGGGGAACCCUGGGGCCACCCCCUUGCCCUUUCUGAGCCUCAGUUUCCCUGUUGUAGGCAGUAAGGACUCCUCUGUUUCAACUUGUGUGGGGGGUAAUAAGUCAGCUCAGUAUGGAGAACCUUCUCGUUGCUGCAGCUAUGUAACAGUGCCAUGGAGGGAGUUCCCUGUUCUUUGCACUGUGCAAGCAGAAGCCGAGAGGGACCCCUUAAGUGUGCUGGAUAGGAGCAGCAGAAUUCCUGGAGGCUCUUGUUCAUUUAAAAACUGGGGUUGGCUCCUAUCCUGUGUGGAGGAAGAUUGUUGGUGAUGGACAGGGAUGUAAGAACUGGGUUCCAAGGGGUUGAGUGGCUUCCUGGAGGAGGUAGGACUGCAUGGAGACCAUACUCUGCAGUUGUCACUCUGACUGCUGUAUGCAAGACUGCUGUCUGCUGGUGGAUGGCGGUGGGCCAGCCAACUGUGCUCCACAGGUGAGGGUUCCAGGGACAGGCUGUGAGCCUGGCAGUGUCCGGCUGGCCCGCCUGUGUCCCACUCUGGGGGCCAAUUAAGUCUCCAUCCCUAGUCGCGCCGAUUAACAGUUAAUAAGGCAGCAAACACCUGCAGCUAUGGAGGCGAAUUAAGAGCAACAGUCGGCAUAAUACACAACCCGAUAAGUGAGCAAUUAACAACCGGAGAAAGAUUAAUAGAAGCAAUUACGUUCCUACUCGGAGCUCUGUAAAUACAACUGUCAAUGGCCAGGGUAUUCAGUUCAGUCCUGCCUGGCCCCACCCCGGGCCACAGCCUCUGUUGGCAGGGGUGCCCACUGAGCCAGACUGUGGAUCCUGGACCGCAGAGGCAUGUACACAGGCACAGAUAUGCAAAUGCACACAGAGAUAUACACAUCCAGACAUACUUAGAGAGGUGGCCCACAGAAUGCAGUCAUAUAGAUAUAAAAAUUCCCCACUGUCUCACAUACUCGCAUUCACAGACGGGUACACACAGACACACAUAGGGCCUUCCAGAAGCAUACACAGAGAUACACAGAAAAAUACCCACAGUGUCAUAAAGAUACAUUUUCACAGAGCUAGAGCCACACAGACUACCAGUGACACUCACAUAUACAAACAGACGUGUAGACACACACAGAUUUUUACUCAUAGGGUCACAUAUGCAUGCAACCCUCCUGUGAUGCCCUUCAGAGGGUUGUCCAUAGUGGGUGAGGGCGGCAGCAGGGCCCUGGACUGAGAGAGAACUGGAGUGAACUGGAGAGAAUUGAACUGAGAGAGAACUGGAGGGUGGGAGGGGACACGGGAGGGACAGAAUGUGUGUGAAAACAUGCAAGUGUGUCUGCAUGCAUGUGACUCUAAGCAUGUGCAUCUUUGCAAGAAUGUGUUUCACCCAUGUAUGGGCACAUUACUGUGUGUAAACAUGCAUGUGCCUAUACGUCUGUGUGGCUGCAUGAGGUGAGUGUCUCAUGAUGCCUGGGUAUAUGUACGUGUACUGUGCCCAGCAGAUCUGUGACUACACAUGUGGGUGUCUGGAUCACGUGUGAUCACGCUGUGCCAGUGUCCAUGUCUAGGUAAUUGUGUGCCUGUACUUCCGAGUGGCUUUACAUGUGUCCUGUCUCUGUGCUGGGGCCAGGGAGGGACGCUUCCCUGGGAAGCCUGGGAUGGUGCCUGAAAGCAGAGUUGUCCCCCCACUGCCCACCACCGGAAUGGGGCUCAAGGACAGGCAGGGAUGCUCUCAGCCUGACUUGGCUUCCCUCACAGGGACUUCAGCCCCUUUCAAGAGAUUGACAUGGAGGUUAAUUUCUCCUGCUUGAAAGCUGAGCCAGGAAUUCACUGAGCACCUUCCUCUUAAAGCCACAGCUCCAGUCCCCACUGGGCUCAAGCCCUCCCCACCCUUGUCUCCACCCUGAGCUUCCCUGGGAAAACCCCCAGACGUGAGACCCAUGCACUUUGCUCGCGUUCUGGGACAUACACUGUCAUGCACAGAAUACAGUCAUGCAGACACACAAACAUGGCCAGUCACGAAUACGAACACAUCACAUUUUGCUUGUGACACCCCGACCUAGCCAGUGUGUGCACAGGCUGGCCACACACACAAAAUCCCAC
rnacentral:lncRNA from 1 species